rnacentral:tRNA from 1 species
AAAAUCCGUCGACUUUAGAAAUCGUGAGGCCCCUCUAUCCCCA